AUUGAACGCUGGCGGUAUGCUUAACACAUGCAAGUCGAACGGUAGCAGGCCUUCGGGCGCUGACGAGUGGCGGACGGGUGAGUAAUGCAUAGGAAUCUGCCGAUUAGUGGGGGAUAACGUGGGGAAACUCACGCUAAUACCGCAUACGCCCUACGGGGGAAAGCGGGGACCUUCGGCCUCGCGCUAAUUGAUGAGCCUAUGUUGGAUUAGCUAGUUGGUAGGGUAAAGGCCUACCAAGGCGACGAUCCAUAGCUGGUCUGAGAGGAUGAUCAGCCACACUGGGACUGAGACACGGCCCAGACUCCUACGGGAGGCAGCAGUGGGGAAUAUUGGACAAUGGGCGAAAGCCUGAUCCAGCAAUACCGCGUGUGUGAAGAAGGCCGUGAGGGUUGUAAAGCACUUUCAAUAGGAAGGAAUACCUAUCGGCGAAUACCCGGUAGACUGACAUUACCUAUACAAGAAGCACCGGCUAACUCCGUGCCAGCAGCCG
rnacentral:rRNA from 1 species